rnacentral:rRNA from 1 species
UUUACCUACGGGACGCAGCAGCCGCGGUAAUACGUAGGGAGCGAGCGUUAUCCGGAUUCAUUGGGCGUAAAGCGCGCGUAGGCGGCUGCCUAAGCGGAACCUCUAACCCCGGGGCUCAACCUCGGGCCGGGUUCCGAACUGGGCGGCUCGAGUGCGGUAGAGGAGAGCGGAAUUCCCGGUGUAGCGGUGGAAUGCGCAGAUAUCGGGAAGAACACCGAUGGUGAAGGCAGCUCUCUGGGCCGGCACUGACGCUGAGGCGCGAAAGCUGGGGGAGCGAACAGGAUUAGAUACACUUGUAGUCCUAG